AGUUCUUGUUUGUCAUUGUUUAAUUUGUAACAAAGACAGGUGCAAAACAUAAAUCCUCCUUGUAAUCCAGGAUUCAUUGUUCAGUAUGAGUUUUGAUACAUGUAAGAAGUAUGAC
ensembl:snoRNA